GAGUCCGGCCUAUUUUCUUGCCACCUCUCGCUGAGCAGCGACUCCCCUCCUCCCCGCUCUCCCUUUGUGGACUUUGGAUGGACAAGUCGAAGAUGAAGCAGUCGGUCUUUUUUCACAUACAUUUGGAAGCAAGCCACAGGAAGAGAUGCUGCUGCUGCUGUGCUGGAGGCUUGAGCCAAUGAGUGGGCAUCUGGUGGGUCCCCCUCGUCCAUGGACCAUGCCUGGACCCUGCCUUUGCUGCUCCUCAGGAUACACCACCGUAAGGAGCAGAACCCCAAGGCCAGCAUCCCAAUGGAGCAACUACUGGUAUUUCAGUGAUGGUGCGUGAUCCAAUUUAUUAUCUGAGGUUGCUGUAAUGGGUCUGCCAUGGCGCCAAGCAAAAUGUCUUCAGCUCUGUUUUAUUGCUAGUAGCAGAUGGAGCGAAUGUGCCUGAAAAUAUAGGAACAGAAAUUACAAUUUUAAAAAACGGUACCAGUUCUGCAACUCUCUCUGAUGUGACACUGCUCUUAGUAAAAUGAGC